ncrna:unclassified sequences dfrA-dnaX RNA
AUGCCUUGUGAUAAAGGCAUCCCUAUUUUAUCAUAAUUAAAUUAAUUUAUUUAUCAAAAUAAAUUAUGAUAUAAU